rnacentral:rRNA from 1 species
CGCCAGCCCGCUCAGAAACUCAAAGGAAUUGACGGGGCCCGCACAAGCGGUGGAGUAUGUGGUUUAAUUCGAUGCAACGCGAAGAACCUUACCUGGUCUUGACAUCCCGGAGACCCUUAGGAAGCUAGGGGGUGCUUCCAUCUGGAAGAAUCUGGAGACAGGUGCUGCAUGGCUGUCGUCAGCUCGUGUCGUGAGAUGUUGGGUUAAGUCCCGCAACGAGCGCAACCCUUGUCCUUAGUUACCAGCACGUUAUGGUGGGCACUCUAAGGAGACUGCCGGUGACAAACCGGAGGAAGGUGGGGAUGACGUCAGGUCAUCAUGGCCCUUACGGCCUGGGCUACACACGUGCUACAAUGGUCGGUACAAAGGGUUGCCAAGCCGCGAGGUGGAGCUAAUCCCAUAAAAUCGGUCUCAGUCCGGAUUGGAGUCUGCAACUCGACUCCAUGAAGUUGGAAUCGCUAGUAAUCGUGGAUCAGCAUGCCACGGUGAAUACGUUCCCGGGCCUU